GUAGCUGUAAGCUGUCACAUCAUGAAUGCCAGAAAGAAAGGAAGAAACAAAUCAUGUUGCGAUUUUGAAUACAUACUUUGUUCUUUUGGGCAAGGUUGCUCCCUUAUCUAUUAUCCGUGUAAGCUGAAAUAAAUUUAUUCAUUUCCAAGAUUAAAGAUAGAAAAUUGAUCGUCAAUCAAAGGCCCAAAUAAAACCCUUAUAUUUAUAAAGAAUAGAACCUUGUUUCCUGAGAAACGUUAAAAAGCCCAGUUUCGACCCAAAAUGUAAUUUACUCUCUCGUUCAAAUGCUUCCAAAUUUGUGUUGGCAUUUUGUUUAAACCUAGAAGUAAUUUCUCGGUACGGUUGCUUUGAGAUUAGUCAUAUUUUCCUUAUUCAUCAACUAAAAACUUAAAGAAUUUGCUAUAUGUACUCUGUUAUAGAACUUGAAUGUUAGGUAUAACAC
rnacentral:lncRNA from 1 species